GAAUAUUGGUCAAUGGGCGAGAGCCUGAACCAGCCAUGCCGCGUGCAGGAAGAAGGCCUUCUGGGUUGUAAACUGCUUUUACCGGGGAAGAAAACGCUCUUGCGAGAGUAACUGACGGUACCCGGGGAAUAAGCAUCGGCUAACCCCGUGCCAGCAGCCGCGGUAAUACGGAGGGUGCAAGCGUUGUCCGGAUUUAUUGGGUUUAAAGGGUGCGUAGGAGGGCUAUUAAGUCAGUGGUGAAAGCCGGCAGCUCAACUGUCGAACUGCCAUUGAUACUGAUAGCCUUGAGUACAGAUGAGGUGGGCGGAAUUUAUGGUGUAGCGGUGAAAUGCAUAGAUACCAUAAAGAACACCGAUAGCGAAGGCAGCUCACUAAACUGUAACUGACGCUGAGGCACGAAAGCAUGGGGAUCGAACAGG
rnacentral:rRNA from 1 species